UACGGGGGAGCAAGCGUUGUUCGGAUUUACUGGGCGUAAAGGGCGCGUAGGCGGCCACCGCAAGUCGACUGUGAAAUCUCUGGGCUUAACCCAGAAAGGUCAGCCGAUACUGCGGGGCUAGAGUGCAGAAGGGGCAACUGGAAUUCUCGGUGUAGCGGUGAAAUGCGUAGAUAUCGAGAGGAACACCUGCGGCGAAGGCGGGUUGCUGGGCUGACACUGACGCUGAGGCACGAAAGCGUGGGUAGCAAACAGG
rnacentral:rRNA from 1 species